AACGCGAAGAACCUUACCUGGGUUUGACAUGCUAGGAUUAUCCCUGUGAAAGCAGGGUAGGCCCUUCGGGGUACAACUAGUACAGGUGCUGCAUGGCUGUCGUCAGCUCGUGUCGUGAGAUGUCGGGUUAAGUCCCUUAACGAGCGAAACCUUUGCCCUUAGUUACCAUCGAGUAAAGUCGGGGACUCUAAGGGGACUGCCGGUGUCAAACCGGAGGAAGGUGGAGAUGACGUCAAGUCCUCAUGGCCUUUAUGCCCAGGGCUACACACGUGCUACAAUGGAGUGCAUAAAGCGAACCUAAAGCGCAAGCUCAUGGAAAUCGCAAAAAUCACUCCCCAGUUCAGAUCGGAGGCUGCAACUCGCCUCCGUGAAGUUGGAAUCGCUAGUAAUCGCGGAUCAGCUACGCCGCGGUGAAUGUGUUCCCGGGCCUUGUACACACCGCUAGUC
rnacentral:rRNA from 1 species